UAGCCUUGUGGUUAAGGCUAUGGACUGCCAAUCCGAAGACGGCGGGUUCGAUUCCCGU
rfam:Aedes albopictus isolate Foshan contig24842, whole genome shotgun sequence.